UGUUGGCAAGGGUGGGUCUCCAGGUGACCCUGCUGCUCCCUCAGGGGCACCCAGGAGAGGAGGCAGGGAGCAGGAGCACAGUGGAGACCUCCUCCCC